rnacentral:lncRNA from 1 species
CUUCAGCUUUGGUCCCUCGGGGCGUCUGGGCAGCCUACGCUUUCCGUAAACACUGGGAUGCCGGAGCUCAGGCAUCCCAGACAGGAGGAAGUGUGUACUCACACCAGCCAGGAGGAAACAAGCCUGCCUGGGAGGACAGACGAUCAGCCCUGGCUGUCCCUCAGGAGCGGGGGGCCUCCAAGGCACACUGCCCACUGGGUCAAGGAGUAUCCAGGAGGAGUUAGAAGCAUGACCCAUCUGCCUGGCACCAGCACCUGGGGCUGCCAGGCAGCCACCCCUGCAGCUGUGUUGACAGGACCUGGCAGAGGGACUGACCCACCUUUGGAAAAUGACACCAGCAAUAUCAGGAUGUGUCAACUGGAUUUAUGCUAAGAAAAUAGGAUUUUUGGUGUUCCUCUGUUUCCCAAAGUUUGAGACACUUUCAGACACUCUGCUUUGCGGUUGUGGC